GCUGAGCGGCUCCUGGCGCUGUGUUUGCUGCCAUCUGAUUGCGGGCAGGGCAGACCACGCGCUGUAGGUGAGCUCAGCAGCUCCGUACCUCCAACUCAGCACUGCAGCUGUGGAUUCAACGAGCAUUUCUGGCAACCUGCAGCGCUCAGCAAAAAGGGCAUUUCCUCUUCCUGAAGCACAAACUCAACAGAGACAACGUGAAGCCUUUAAGUCUUUUUGAGCGGCUACUGAGGUGGAAACAGCUGGGCUGAGGCGGAUGCUUUGAGACAGAACGUGGUUCGUGAGGACAGGACCAGCAGUGGAGACCUGAGUUUGGUCGGAACGGAGAGCUGGAGAAGACCUCUAUGAUGCAGGAUAAUUCUCUGCGCCCUCUCUGAUGGAAACCCCAAAGCACCCCUCUUCCCGUGCUGCUCUCCCACCUUGCCCAAUGGCAGGGCCGGUCAGCUGGCUGCCAUGUGCUCGGUGUGCUGGCAGCAGCUCAGCCUGCAUUCAGGGCGCGCUGCCUGCCCCACUGCUGCACCCACACUGCAGGACCGGGUGUGGUGGGUGCCCUCCAUCCAUCAUCUCCUGGGGCAGCACCUCCUGCGGUGCUCUGUGGGGCCGGGAGGGCCUUGGGGCGCAGAGCCACAGGUAGGGAGAGGAUUCCCACACCCAUCUCCAAGACUUAUCUGAGGCACAGCUCUGCACAGCGAUGACAAAGCCACUGCUGUCACCGAGCAGUCACCAAAUGACACAGCCUGAGGAAAGCAGGCUAUGGGAGGAGGAUGGGAGCCGGGCACACGCUGGUGGAGAAGACAGGCUGUGCGGCGUUUUGGAGUGCAUCCAUGGUGUGCUGGGUGCUGCGUGGUGCUGCAGGCCCUGCUGGGAGCGGGAGUGCUGAGUGAAUGUAGUGAGGGGUCCCCCAGGUGGGCGGGUGGGGGGGAGGGGGGGCUGGGGCUGCACCCCCACCUGGAUACUGUUGCUUGGGAAACCUCUCCUGCAGCAUCUGCUCAGCACCGCGCUUCUGCCUCCAGAUAACGGCGUCACGGGGCUGCGCUGGGGAGGAAAAUAAAAGCCACACAGGUGCAGGGGAAGGGAUGGAGAUAUUGUGAGACGCUUGGAGAGAACAAGCACCUAAAAAUACUGGUGCUUUCACAAGCAGCAUGGCAGGGACAGGCUGG
ensembl:lncRNA